GCCUCGUUAGUUAAAUGGAUAUAACCGGCCCCUCCUAAGGGUCAAUUGGUGGUUCGAUUCCACCACGGGGCGCCA
rnacentral:tRNA from 1 species